rnacentral:rRNA from 1 species
GACGAAGGGAGCGAGCGUUAUCCAUAAUGACUGGGCGUAAAGGGUUCGUAGCAUGUAUUGCAAUGUUAGUUACAAAAGUUCAAACAAAACUUUGAAAAGCGAAUUAAUACUGCAAAUUCUCGAGGAAAACAAAGGUAAGUGGAAUUUUGCAAGAAGGGAUGGUAUCCAGGGAUAUGCAAAGGAAUAUCAAUAUGCAUAGGCGGCUUACUAGUUUUUUACUGACUGUGGGGAACUAAAGUGUGGGUAGCAAACAGG